GGAACAGCGGCCUUCAUUGCGCCUGAUGAAGAACCUAUGGCCAUCAAUUUUCCCUGUCGUGGGAAGAUUUGUUUAUUCAAUCUGACGAAGCAGAAGCAGUUUCUGCAGCUUCUUGAAGAAACCGAGCUGAUUACGACAGUUGUCCCACUGGCUUUCGAAGAAAAAUUACCUUCAAAUUAUCCUGUACCGGAAUAUUCCGGGUCAGUUCAAAGAGAUAACUUUCGACGCAUCUUAUGAGUCAAGUGGAGGUUUGGUCUUAUUAAAGUAAUCUUCCUGCUGGAGAACUCAUGCAAACAAUUCUGGUCGUGCAAAUCGAAUAAUAAGUCGUCGAAUCCUGCCGUAUCUGCGCAAGUUUUUCUUACCAAUCCACAAAAACCUUAAGUUUUGCGACCAGCUGGUACCGCUUGAAUCUCAGCACCAUCAGCGGAAGGCAGUGAGUUCGAGUUCCACGAAGGAAUCGUAACCAACAAGCCAACCGGUACGAAAUUUGGUCCUUCUCAAGUCGAAGAAAAUUCGAGCUAAAGUAGUUCCACCGUCGCAACCGAGACAGGGUACCAAAAUCCAUCAGAUUCAGACGGUCCGGACCGCUAACUCACUGUCGCAACGAUCAGGAGCUGGAACCGAAAAGCCUCAAGUACAAAAAAGCCGUGGUGAUUUCGACUUGGAAUCGGCGCUAGACCUAAAUACCUUAACAUGGCACCCCGCCGUGCCGUAGCCGGUCGCGGCGGAAAACAGGCUCCGGAAAAUCAACCUCACGAAUUCUUCAGCUUCGAGGCCAUUCCCUAGAUCAGGACACCGGCAUGCAGCAGUACACCUUCAACAAAAGCGGAUCAAACCGACGUGUGGUCACCCGGCGGAAACGACCCCGCGAACCAAGCUCUUCAAGCUGCUUCGGAUAAUAAAUAAUCGCGAUUAUACAAAAAUAAAGAAAAUGUUUUGGAAAGAAUGAUUGAAUUAUUUGAAGCCUUUCAAACGUGUGAGACUACCUAGGUCUGUCAAAAAAGGCCAAAUGACAACAGGGGGAAUCGAAAAAUGAACUAAACCAAAAGGCAUAAUUUACACGGAAAAAACAAGUAAGUAUUGAGCUGUCAAAUCUGAAACAUGGAGUUAUUGUUCGUUUCUCUCAAAGGUACACGCCGCGCGGCAUUUCAGAAUGUGCCGCAGACAAUGUUGCCAGCGAUUUUCUGCACUUUUGGUGCAAUAAAAAACAGAGUUCCCAAAUGAACCGGUUAGGCUACACAGAAAAAAAUAUUCCUGUGAAUUUACAUUAUUUAUCAUGUACCAAAAGGUAUCAUGAUAAAUGAUGUAUAUUUACAUUAGGUUCAUCGGAAGUUUACAUUAGAUUCAUUGGAAAUUUACAUUAGUUUUGAAAAUUUACAUUAGUUUUGGAAUUUACAUUACUUUUGGAAUUUACAUUAGUUCAAAUCAACUAAUUCUGAUUGGCCAAUGGGAAUGAGAAGCUCGACUUGGAUUGCAGUAGGAAAAGGGUGUGGCCUAUGUUCUAUUUUAAAAUUAUUGAAGCGGGCAGCAAAAUGAAAUUCGGAUUUUAAAAAGUUGUUUCACAGGUAGGGGACGGACGCUUUCUCGUCGACGGCCAAGUGGAAUAACGCUGGACUGGAAUCGAACGGACGACGGGUAGGAUGUUCGGUGUUACUGCUGCUACCCGCUGCCGACUGAGCCAUCUUCGCAUUUUAUAAACGAGCGGCUAAAGCAUCAACUUGUUCAGGUCGGACUCAGGCAGUGGGCCAGCGAAGUAUGAGAGCGAUAGAAAGAGAACCAAAUAUAACUAUUAACUAUUUUUAGUUCGGGUAGUUUUGAAGUCAAUGUUUGGCAGAAAUACAUUGGAUAUAUGAUUUACAUUAAAUGAGAAUUUACAGGAAGCUGAACCCGGGUAGAAAUUCAUCCGAUUUAAGGUUCCAUGCUCAACGUUUCCAUUAGAUUCAUGAUUUACAUUAGAUUUAGAUUUACAUUAGAGUAAUUUCCAUGACUUUUUGCUCUUUACAUCAUAUCUCAACAUUACAUUGAGUGAGUUUACAUCAGAAACAGCAAUUACGUGGUGUGUAAAUUUACAUAUUUUUUUCUGUGUAGGUUCACCUAUAAACUUGGUUCGGCUUAAACAUCUCUUUGUGGUUCAAUCCUGGUUCAGUGAACCAUGAACCAUGGCUUAAGCCAGGCUAACCAGGCUAAUGAAAACCAUAGCAAUAACAGUAGCAUUAUUGCUAAUAUUAUUGUGUAACAAUGUUACAAUGUAACAUUCAUUACACCGUAACAUUGGUACACCACAACAUUCGUUACACCGUUACAUUCGUUACACCGUAACAUUGUAACACCGUAACAUUGUUACACCGCAACAUUCGUUACACCGUAACAUUGUUACACCACAACAUUCGUUACACCGCAACAUUCAUUACACCGUAACAUUGUUACACCGCAACAUUCGUUACACCGUAACAUUGUAACACCGUAGUAUGAUUACACCGUAACAUCGUUACACCGCAAAAUUCAUUAUACCGUAGUGUGAUUAGACCGUAACAUUGUUACACCACAACAUUCGUGACACCGUAGUUUGGUUACACCGUAACAUUGUUGCACCGCAACAUUCGUUGCAUCAUAGCAUUCAUUACACCGUGACAUGCGUUACACCGUAAUACUGUUACGGUGUAAGACUAUUACGGUGUAACAAUGUUAUGGUGUAACACUGUUACGGUGUAACACUGUUACGGUGUAACACUGUUACGGUGUAACACUGUUACGGUGUAAUGAAUGUUGUGGUGUAACAAUGUUACGGUGUAAUCAUACUACGAUGUAACGAAUGGUACGGUGUAACAAUGUUACGGUGUAAUCAUACUACGAUGUAACGAAUGUUACGAUGUAACGAAUGUUACGGUGUAACAAUGUUACGGUGUAACCAUAUUACGGUGUAACAAUGUUACGGUGUAGAUUUAGGGUUAAACAGUGUCACGGUGUAACAAAGCUUGCCGUUUAGCCUAACAUUCUUUGAUCAGGUUCAAGCCAGGUUCAAGCCUGGUUCAAGCCAAAGGUUCAUUUUGGCUAGCCUCGCCUGGUUUGAACCAAAUGAACCAUGGCUCACGGCACUCGGUGAGCCUGAGCCGACGAUGCUUGCCGAGGUGUGGUGUGAACCUGAACCAGAAAAAUGAACCUAGCCUAGCCGACGGCUUAGGCUCGUGGGAACACUGAUAAAAAACAUACCUGCAACCAGGCCAGCCGAUUCGAAGAAGAAGAUCGACAAAAACAAAACGUGCAGUAUGGGAUUUGACAGCGCGCAUUUGCCGAAAGUGCGGCGCGUCGUUCCAAGGCUGGUUUGCCGCGUGUCUUUUUCGGGAAUACGCACAAUAAACUUUUCCAAGUGCCAUGGUAAACUUCACAGUAACUGCACUUUGUGUAAAGUUGCUGUGAAGUUUACCAUGGCAUUUCGAAAAGUUUGACUCCAUGUUGCACGUACACACUCUGACUUUUUAUUUCUCAAUACUAUUCCAUAAGUUGUUCGACAAAUACGGAAGAACAUUUCUAGAGUUUUUUUGAAGGUCCAAUAAGCUAUUGUGUUUCUAAUGCUUAUAGGACCUAUUCAAAAAUAAACUAGAUUUUUUUUUGUAAUUUCUUACUUUAAAAAUAUUGCCAAAAAUUAUGUGAAAAAACUAAAUGAUAUUUAAACAAACAUACAUUUCUAGAGUUUUAUUUAAAAAGGUCCUAAUCCCAUAGCUUACAGGACAUUUUCAGUAAAAAAUCUAGAUUUGUAAAUGCGCUAAUUUUCGUUUACUUUUUCAAAUGGUCCAAUAGUACAUAGGAGACCCAUGGCGCUUUGGCUGUUCUGAAAAAAGUAAUCUAGAAUUGAUAAACAUACUAAAAAUAACACUUAACCAGGCUCUAUAACUUUUUUUCUUAUCAGAGCAUAAAUGAAAAAAACAUCAAAAAAUGACGUAUACUACUAUAGUAUAUACUAUAGUAUUUACAAACAGUGCAUAACGCCCUCGUUAAUGUAUGUUCAUAUUUUAAAUGAUCAAGAUGCAUUGUAUGUUUACAAAUUCACGUUGGUUUAAUUCUAGAUUUUUUUUUGAAUAGGUCCUAUAGACACAUGAAAGACAAUAGUUUAUAGCUCGGAUUAGUUUUCAAAAAGACCUAAGAGCCAUUGGUAAACAGAGCCCUAUUUGCAACGGUACUCGACCUACUUACGAAAAAACAAUUCCAAAAAUGCUUGAGAUUGUUCAUCUACACGUCCUUCAAGUGCUCUAAAUUAAAGAUAAAUGAAAUUUUGUUUUAAUUUGGAGAAAAAUGAAAAUAAGUGUCGCUCGUCACGGUGGCUCUUACGGCUUUUUCAAAACUCACCCGAGAUAGGACCUUUAAAAAAACUCUAGAAUUUACAUGAUUAUGCUUCAAAUAUAUUUUCUUGAUGCACUGAGGGUUAUUUUUUUAUUAUGUCUUUUAUUCACAUAUUAUAUCUUUUGCUAGCACUGCUGUUGGUUCUUCUCAUUGCAGCCGCACCUUACAUCGUUGAUUGCAUUGAAUCUUUGACAGAACAGGAAAACUCAAAUCAAAACAGAAAAUCAAAAACAACACAUGCAGGAUUUUUUUUAUCUUUUUCAUCAGCCAGUUCGUGUGCUAGGCGUCCAGCAGCAGCAUUUUUGGGAACCUGCCAAUGCUGUCAAAUGCCCACUUAGUGUUCCAGAGAGUGACUACGACAUCAACGCCGCCAGUGAUUCUGGCAAGGUCAAAGUGGUGGAAGUGGUCCCGUUUCAGGGCCCCCCCAGACCAAAUAUUACCGAUACCGACACAGAUGUCGGAAUUCGCCGUUUACCGCCUGGACCAGCUCAAGGUGUAUGUGUAAAUACAGAGUCCGUCUUCAUGCUGACGUUCACGUUCCAGAUCAGACCGAAUCCAAGCUGUCGGAUAUCCCCGCGGGCAAGCCGUUACGUUGGGGCGAAAUUAUGUCGAGCGCGUCAAGCCAUG